rnacentral:rRNA from 1 species
UACGUAGGGUGCAAGCGUUGUCCGGAAUUAUUGGGCGUAAAGAGCUCGUAGGCGGUUUGUCGCGUCUGCUGUGAAAACCCGAGGCUCAACCUCGGGCCUGCAGUGGGUACGGGCAGACUAGAGUGCGGUAGGGGAGAUUGGAAUUCCUGGUGUAGCGGUGGAAUGCGCAGAUAUCAGGAGGAACACCGGUGGCGAAGGCGGUUCUCUGGGCAUUACCUGACGCUGAAGCACGAAAGCGUGGGGAGCAAACAGG